rnacentral:rRNA from 1 species
CCAGACUCCUACGGGAGGCAGCAGUGGGGAAUAUUGCACAAUGGGCGAAAGCCUGAUGCAGCAACGCCGCGUGAAGGAAGAAGGCCUUCGGGUCGUAAACUUCUGUCCUUGGGGAAGAAGAACUGACGGUACCCAAGGAGGAAGCCCCGGCUAACUACGUGCCAGCAGCCGCGGUAAUACGUAGGGGGCAAGCGUUAUCCGGAUUCACUGGGUGUAAAGGGAGCGUAGACGGCGACGCAAGUCUGGGGUGAAAGCCCGGGGCCCAACCCCGGGACUGCUCUGGAAACUGCGUCGCUGGAGUACGGGAGGGGCAGGCGGAAUUCCUGGUGUAGCGGUGAAAUGCGUAGAUAUCAGGAGGAACACCGGCGGCGAAGGCGGCCUGCUGGACCGUGACUGACGUUGAGGCUCGAGAGCGUGGGGAGCAAACAGGAUUAGAUACCCUGGUA